GAUGAACGCUGGCGGCGUGCCUAAUACAUGCAAGUCGAGCGAAUGGAUUAAGAGCUUGCUCUUAUGAAGUUAGCGGCGGACGGGUGAGUAACACGUGGGUAACCUGCCCAUAAGACUGGGAUAACUCCGGGAAACCGGGGCUAAUACCGGAUAACAUUUUGAACCGCAUGGUUCGAAAUUGAAAGGCGGCUUCGGCUGUCACUUAUGGAUGGACCCGCGUCGCAUUAGCUAGUUGGUGAGGUAACGGCUCACCAAGGCAACGAUGCGUAGCCGGACUGAGAGGGGGAUCGGCCACACUGGGACUGAGACACGGCCCAGACUCCUACGGGAGGCAGCAGUAGGGAAUCUUCCGCAAUGGACGAAAGUCUGACGGAGCAACGCCGCGUGAGUGAUGAAGGCUUUCGGGUCGUAAAACUCUGUUGUUAGGGAAGAACAAGUGCUAGUUGAAUAAGCUGGCACCUUGACGGUACCUAACCAGAAAGCCACGGCUAACUACGUGCCAGCCGCCGCGGUAA
rnacentral:rRNA from 1 species